rfam:Phytophthora infestans T30-4 supercont1.26 genomic scaffold, whole genome shotgun sequence.
CCGAGUGUAGCUCAGUUGGUAGAGCGAUUGACUGUAGUGUUCUAUACUGUGUUUCAGUAUUCUCGGAAAUCAAGUUCGAUUCCGGCCACUCGGA